GCUGGAACGUGUCGCGGCGUUCUGUAACCCGAGUGGGGGCAGGGUGGUGGAACUACCGCUCGUCUGCGACGGCCCAUGUCCGCAUGUUGAGGGCUUGCCCACCCCAAGCUGGGAGUCGGCAACGGCGCCCCCCGGAAGGGAGGUGACGUGGUCGUUGAAGAAGGGGGAACCGCAUGAGGCAGGCAACUGAGCAGUGCAAACUCCUCGCUCUCAGCAGUGGGGGGAACACGAGCCUGAGUGAUUGGAGGUGGAUCACUGGCGCAGAAUGGAGCUGGGGGACCCUCAUCC
rnacentral:SRP_RNA from 1 species